CCGCUGAACUUAAGCAUAUUAAUAAGCGGAGGAAAAGAAACUAACAAGGAUUCCCCUAGUAACGGCGAGUGAAGCGGGAAGAGCUCAAGCUUAAAAUCUCCGUGCAAGUUUUGUGCGGCGAAUUGUAGUCUAUAGAAGCGUGGUCAGCAUGGGCACUUGGGGCAAGUUCCUUGGAAGAGGACAGCAUGGAGGGUGAUACUCCCGUUCAUUUCUGAGUUGCUCGUGCGUACGACCCGUUUUCUUUGAGUCGCGUUGUUUGGGAAUGCAGCGCAAAGUAGGUGGUAAAUUCCAUCUAAAGCUAAAUAUUGGUGCGAGACCGAUAGCGAACAAGUACCGUGAGGGAAAGAUGAAAAGAACUUUGAAAAGAGAGUUAAAGAGUACCUGAAACUGCUGAAAGGGAACCGAAUCGUUUCCAGUGUCUAUAAUCCGUGGUAUAUUUCAUUGGCGAGUGUGUGCGUGCGUGUGCUGUGGCAGCGGCUUUUUUGGCUGCGCUCGGCGUGUGUGCUGUGUGUGCUUGCUGGUGCUCUGUGCUGCGGUGGGACGUCAAGGUCAGUUCGUAUGCUGCGGGAAAUGGCUGCCGAGGAGGUAGGGCUUACGCUUGCGUUUGUCUGUUAUAUCUUGGUGGACGAGUAGUCGCGGUUGGGACUGAGGUGCCUACAACGUGCUUUUGAGUGGGUUUGUGUCUCCGUGURCGCCGUGUGCGGAUAGCUUGCUAUGCGUGUGUGGUUGUGUGUGGAUUGAUGCGAGCUUUAACUUGUUGCCGUUCGGGACGUUGACGAAAUGGAGCGAUUCGACCCGUCUUGAAACACGGACCAAGGAGUCUAACAUGUGUGCAAGUGUUAGGGUGUGGAAACCCCAGCGCGAAAUGAAAGUGAAGGGCAGCGUAAGUUGUCUGAGGUAGGAAAUGCUGCGGGCUUCGGUCUGCGGUGUGGCACUAUCGACCGAUCAUGAACCUUCGUGGUGAAAGAUUUGAGUUUGAGCACAUAUGUUGGUACCCGAAAGAUGGUGAACUAUGCCUGAGUAGGGUGAAGCCAGGGGAAACUCUGGUGGAAGCUCGUAGCGAUUCUGACGUGCAAAUCGAUCGUCAAACUUGGGUAUAGGGGCGAAAGACUAAUCGAACCAUCUAGUAGCUGGUUCCCUCCGAAAUUUCCCUCAGGAUAGCAGCAACUUAUUUACGAUAGUUUUAUGAGGUAAAGCGAAUGAUUAGAGGAUUCGGGGAAGAAACUUCCUCGACCUAUUCUCAAACUUUAAAUCUGUAAGACCUGCAGGUUUCUUAAUUGAACUUGUGGAUGUGAAUAUCAAGUUGCUAGUGGGCCAUACGGGGUAAGCUCGUCUGGCG
rnacentral:rRNA from 1 species